CUGAGUAGACAGUUGGGGCAUAGAGGAGGCAAAGGAUAAUGUCUCUGUUCCUGGAUCCUUGAAACAUCAAGGAAAAUGUCACGACGUAGAGAUAGCACAUAUGCCAGCAAGAGGAUCUCUCGUAGAGGCUCUACCGGAGGGAGGAGCAGGAGAUGCAAGUCAGGUGCAGAUAUGCCAAUUAAAAAAAGGAAAGGGUAUGUCCGCGUCUGUGCAGUAUACUAUUACUGGAAAGGAAGAAAAUAAUUCCCAGUGAUUCCCUUUCCAUUGCUUAGAAAUUCCAUCUUCUGCAUUGGUGAA